UUAAAUUUUUCUAAAUAUGGCAUGUAAUUUUUUAAUGCUUUGAUUCAGACAUUAAAGAUUUGUUAUCAAAACAACAUUUAAAGUUUAAAAAUCAAAUAUCUUCAACAAUUACAACACAAACUAAUUUGCGUAGUUUCAAAAACUGUAUCAAUUUGAUUCUGUAUAUUUGUACAAAGAUAUCAUGAGUGUCUUGUUCCAGCAAUAAAGUCGUAUAUGAAAGAUUUAAAAAGCUUCAUCAACUUACAACAACAUACUCUAGAUUCCAAUAUUAGACUAAAUUUAGACUUAAAAGGUUGUGACAAAACCCUGAAGAUUUAAUUAGAAAAAAAUGUGUUUUGAGUUUAUAUUGUAAAUAUGUUACUAUUGAAAAAGUUUAUCAAAUUGCAUUUGUAUGCAUUUACUUGUAUAUUCUAGUUUAAAAAAGUUUAUUAUAUAUUAA